AAUAGGCAAAACACCUCUUUAAAUCUGAAGGGAGAUGGUAAUAGCUUAAUCUUAACACUGGAAGAAUGUCACUUUCAUCAUCUGAUAAAUUCCAUAUGGCACUAUUCAAAAUAGCUUGCCACUCAUCUUCCCUCGUCUUAGUUCGUAAAAGGCCACCAAGAGUUCGUGCUGCCAGGGGCAAACCUCCACAUUUCUUCACAAUUUUUCUUCCAAUGAUCUCUAGAAUUGGAUAUGCACUGAUGUUUUUAUUCUCAAAUGCAUGUUGUGCAAACAGUGACCAACAAUCAUCCUCUGAUAUAAUCUCCAAGGAGUGGUAUCCUUUAGUUCCCGUCAUUAAAGCCACAUUUGUGUUACGUGUUGUCAGUAUAACCUUGCUUCCUGGUGCUCCACCUCGAAAUGUCGAUCGAAGUGCAUCCCAAUCACCAUAAUUCUUGUUCCAAACAUCAU
rnacentral:misc_RNA from 1 species